AGAUGAACAUGGCUGGCACUGGCUGUGGCAUGCAGGUGUGCUUCCUGAGGGCCACUGCAAGUUGGGGGCAAGCUUCUGCAUGCAAGUCACCUGCAUUCACUCGGCAGGGAGGACGAGAGCACUUGGCUACCUGAAGUCCACGCUCCAUCUCCCUGGAGCAAUGCCCAUGAUCACAACGACUCCCAUCACCAUUAUGAAUCAAGGCUGCCAGUGAAGCUCUGCUGCUGUCCCUCAGCCUGACACCUGAUUUAUAAUCAUGGGUUUAUGUCAAGUGUUUAAUUUAAACAACUGCGCUCCAACGUUUAGAGGAGAAUAAAUUCUUGGAAUGGAGAUGAAAUGUCCAGCUUGGAGGCCAGCUAUGGCGGCACUUGGGAGGCAGAGGUGGGAGGAUCUCUGUGAUUUGAGGCUCGCCUGGUCUACAAAGUAUGUUCCAGAACAGCCAGGGCUAAGUAUGAGACCCUGUCAUUCUGAGUGGCAUCCUUCCGAUCUGCUUCCCAUGUGUGUGCGUGUGUGCAGCUAGGGCCUGCCCCACUGCCCGUGGCUUCUGAGAUAACUCCUAAAGGAGGUAAAAGUGUUGUUGGAAAAGUUCACCAGGAAAAGAACAUUCCCGUUACAGAAGAAAAUUGCAAAACUGAGACAGAAAUAAAGACCACGAUGCAGCCACAGAAGAAUCUCGACCUUCUUGAACACUGAAAAGCUAGCUGCUACGGUUGUUUCCAUUACAAUAGGAUUCUCAGUGAAAAUCGAGCCUUAUGCGUGAGAUCAAUCAGGUAAGUUUGUACAAACGGGCAUUAUCUGUAGCAGGAACAGCAGGGCCACCUCUGUGUAAACGCUGGGGGCCACACAGCCACUAAAAGCACCCCCUGCAGGAGGACCUAAUUGAGGACUGCCUGAGAGACCAAGGAUUGCUGCUGCAGACAAUGCCAGCCAAUCAGGAACUGCUGUUUAGAGGAGAUGCUUGCUUGGGACCAAUGGGCCAUAGGUGGAGCGUAUUAAAUGAGCUUGCAGCAGUGCUCAGAUGAGCUUUCUGAAGAGUUUCUCUUCUGCUCCUGGAGUCUGUGUCGUUGAUUCUGCUCCAUCUCCCCCCCCCCCCCGCCCCCCAAGGGCAGGUAGGGUCAGGCGUCGAGUGGUCCAGGACACGGGUAGCGGAAUCUUAACGGGAGUCAUCAGGUUCCUUUCCCACUGAGAAUGCAAGUACAUUUCUCAGAGGUCAGUUGAUCUGGUAAAGCAUCUCAAAGGCCUGAAUCACUCCGUGAUUGUGGACAAUUGGCUGAACCCCAUCUCAGUGGAAGGUAGUUUAAAAAAAAAUGAAGAAAACACUCAACCAAACCACGUGAAUGCCAAGAGAGAACUGCCUUCCUAGGACGCGAACAGAUCCUAGUGCGGGAUUAAGGAACGUUCUGAAGUGAAUAUGUCAGGCUGGGAAUGACGACGUUCGUAAAGCAUGGGUGGAAUGAAGAGAGACACCGAUAAAGGAAACAUCUGAGCCUUUGAUUUCCCCUGGAAACUGUGCAGUGGAAACGCUCAUUUCCAGUGAGGCACAUCGUUGAACUGCACCUAUAAAUUUGACAGAUGAGUAUUUGUGUAGCCUUCUAAGUAAAGACAGCAGAUUCUCCAUUUCUUACCGAGGAUUUGAUUUAAAUAAAUGUGCCUAUUACAUUUCCUUCUUCAUCUACACCCUGGGCAUUUUGUUUAAGAAAAGGGUUACUCAGUUUGUUUGUUUAUUUGUUUUUUAUUGAAAUAUAAAAGGGAAGCCUUACAUAAUGAAAAUGCUUCAUUUUGUUCAGGCCGGGGGUAGAAAAAAACAAAGGAAUUGUUUACCUGUAACUGACUGACAUCAGCUUCCACUAAUGUAAAAAUCAGAGUAAAACCAGCACUUUGGCAUAAAAUUUGAAUUUGCACACUAACUCACAACCGCAAGAGAGCGGCCAUCAUCGAUCACGGGUUUGAGCAAUGUGAGCAUCACACACGACCAUGCACUAGUAACCAAACCACAAUGGUAUUACCUAGAUCUAAGUAUAUUUGUUUGUGAAUAUAAAAUUGAAACAAUAAAUGGCAAAGCGUGUUUGUGUGGUGGGUACUGCCAUGGCUUUGAUGGCUUAUAAAAAUAAUAACUAUGGAAAUAGUAGUAAUCACUAUGACACAAAGCUUUUGAAAUCCAUCUAGUCCUGCAUUCAAUUAAGUUGGAGUAUUAGUCUAAAAAAAAUAACGUCGUUGCCAUCUCAUUUUUCAGCUUCAUGUCAUGUCUAAUUGCAUCUUAGUACCUCUUUUCCCUCCUUAGUCAAAGAGAUUAACCAUCUAAAAGUGG
rnacentral:lncRNA from 1 species